rnacentral:lncRNA from 7 species
GGCUGAAUUCUGCUCAAUUUCUGCUCUUCUUAUGGCUGCAAAAAAAUCAACAGUCUUGCAAGAGCUACACUGCACUGCUUGUCUGUGGAUCGUCUUUCUGUGCUUGCUAUGAAUUCAGUGGUAGUGAACAGAGGACGAGAAAACGUUCGUUCUUGCAAUCAGUCGCCCCCACACACGCACCAGCAAAGCUUCCAGCAGUUAGUGCUAACCUCGGUGAUGGUGUUUGUCAUGUAAAUACGCAGCCAUUAGAAAUAUGAGAACCAUCUGGUUCCUUUCUGCUCGGAGAGCAAACAGCUAUCUGCCAAGGUGGGCUGAAGUCAGAUGGAGUACUUCAAGAUAAAAGAGACCUUAUGCUUCAGGAGAUAUGAAAAACAUCUAUCUGGAAUGAAGAGAUGGCAACAAGGUCACCAAAUGGAUGCAGCCAGAUGCAAAGGGCAGAAGCCCUACCACCGAGCACAGAAGUUUCUGAUAUGUAUCCUUGGAAAUGACCCGCCGGUUAAAAACAAAGCAAUAAUAAAUCCCUGUGAAAAACAGCAGUCUGAGCUUCCAUGAAUGUCAUUACCUACAAAAGCCAUCAGAGCCUGUGCUGUAUCGGGGUGGCACUGCGGAGAAGACAGAAUGGUUGGAAAGGAGGGCUGGCAACAAUGAAGUUACACAGAGAUGCCAUCAGAUGCUGUCCAAGCUGCCAGGGUCCUGCUGUGUUACUGAAUUCUCCUGGAGCUGUUCUGACCUAAGCUAACUGCUUUUCUAUUGACAUCAACUUUUGCCACUUCAGUCUUCACCCUGACAUUAUUAAUACAGGAUUAAACAGUGUUGGUCUGCGUCCUGAUCUAUGGAGCACCUCAUUAUUAAUCUCUUUCCCUACCAGAAUUGGCUAUUUACUCCAUCCCCAGAUUUUAAUUCUGUGGUUACCAAGUUUCCUUAACAGUUUCUUGUAUGGGUGUUUAUCAGAAGGUUUUUGAAUGUUCAAAUAAAUUAUAUCCUCUGGUUGGCCUUUCCCCACUAUUUUAUUAACGCUUAGAAGUGUAAAGGUCCAACCAGCAGGAUUUAGUCUUAAGGUGGCUGUGUUACUUCUUGCCUUUGCUUGAGGCUUGGUAUUUCCCUGCAGUUUGUAAAACAUUCAGAGCAGCAGCUCUCUGAAUCUUGUGGCUUGAAGGAGCACCAAAUAUGUUGUCGAUGCUUAAUUAAAAAUAAGAGUGAAC